rnacentral:lncRNA from 1 species
CUUAUUGGUGUAGUUUUGCUAAACUCGAGGGAAAAUUCAAUAUGAACCUGCUCACUAUGGUGUUAUGAACUGCAUUGUUGGGUUAUGUGGUGUGUAUGUUGUAAUAAAUAGUUAUCUUUAUUUUAGUUGGUUGUAACUACGGUUACAAUUUUUGGUUUUGAGUAUGGCAUUGUUGAGGCGCUAAUUGGAUGAUUUAUGCGUAUUUUCCCAAUGGGGGGCAUGAUGGUAAUACUGCAUCUCAGGAAUUUGUUACUUACUUAUCGGGACAAUAGUGAGUUGUUGGUAUUACUGGCUGCAGACCGUAAUAUUGAAAACUUAAUUGUUGAACUUGUUAAGCAAGUGGACAUCUAGGUCCGUCUAUGUUUAGUUAUUUAAUUAUUGUUUGGGCUUAACCCAAAGAUAACACACACUCAUCUUCGAGGCACGUGACGCUUAUAGGUGUGUAGGUGAAGUUUUCUAUUUUCGGUGUUGUUUUCAGUACAACCAUUUUAACUUCACUUUAUUAUAUACGUACUUCGAAAUUAUGUUGUUAUACAUCUAUCUUUCUACUUUAUGUUUUAUAAAGGACUGCAUAUUUUAGUAUUGUACUAAAGGAGAAGGAAAGUUUGAGUUUGGAGGCAUGAAAGAGGAAUCACUGCACUCUGAUUGUGACGGAAUGGCAUUCUCUUUUAUGCAACCGCUCUAGCUU